UCAAGAAACUUCCACAAUGGGCGAAAGCCUGAUGGAGCGACGUCGCGUGAUGGACGAAGUGCUUCGGCACGUAAACAUCUUUUAUGUGGGAUGAAAUUAUUGACAGUACCACAUGAAUAAGGGGCUCCUAACUCUGUGCCAGCAGGAGCGGUAAUACAGAGGCCCCAAGCGUUAUCCGGAAUCACUGGGCGUAAAGGGUGUCGAGGCGGUUGUAUUAGUCGUUCGUAAAAUCUACGAGCUUAACUCGGAACGGUCAGAUGAUACUGCUGUGCUAGAGUACAGAAAGGGCAAUCGGAAUUCUUGGUGUAGCGGUGAAAUGCGUAGAUAUCAAGAGGAACACCUGAGGCGAAGGCGGGUUGCUAGGCUGAUACUGACGCUGAGGCGCGAAAGCUAGGGUAGCAAA
rnacentral:rRNA from 1 species